rnacentral:rRNA from 1 species
GGGUUGUGAGGUUAAGCGACUAAGCGUACACGGUGGAUGCCCUGGCAGUCAGAGGCGAUGAAGGACGUGCUAAUCUGCGAUAAGCGCCGGUAAGGUGAUAUGAACCGUUAUAACCGGCGAUUUCCGAAUGGGGAAACCCAGUGUGACUCGUCACACUAUCAUUAACUGAAUCCAUAGGUUAAUGAGGCGAACCGGGGGAACUGAAACAUCUAAGUACCCCGAGGAAAAGAAAUCAACCGAGAUUCCCCCAGUAGCGGCGAGCGAACGGGGAGGAGCCCAGAGCCUGAAUCAGCAUGUGUGUUAGUGGAAGCGUCUGGAAAGGCGCGCGAUACAGGGUGACAGCCCCGUACACAAAAGCGCAUGUGCUGUGAGCUCGAUGAGUAGGGCGGGACACGUGGUAUCCUGUCUGAAUAUGGGGGGACCAUCCUCCAAGGCUAAAUACUCCUGACUGACCGAUAGUGAACCAGUACCGUGAGGGAAAGGCGAAAAGAACCCCGGCGAGGGGAGUGAAAAAGAACCUGAAACCGUGUACGUACAAGCAGUGGGAGCACAGGUUUACCUGUGUGACUGCGUACCUUUUGUAUAAUGGGUCAGCGACUUAUAUUCUGUAGCAAGGUUAACCGAAUAGGGGAGCCGGAGGGAAACCGAGUCUUAACCGGGCGUUAAGUUGCAGGGUAUAGACCCGAAACCCGGUGAUCUAGCCAUGGGCAGGUUGAAGGUUGGGUAACACUAACUGGAGGACCGAACCGACUAAUGUUGAAAAAUUAGCGGAUGACCUGUGGCUGGGGGUGAAAGGCCAAUCAAACCGGGAGAUAGCUGGUUCUCCCCGAAAGCUAUUUAGGUAGCGCCUCGUGAAUUCAUCUCCGGGGGUAGAGCACUGUUUCGGCUAGGGGGCCAUCCCGGCUUACCAACCCGAUGCAAACUGCGAAUACCGGAGAAUGUUAUCACGGGAGACACACGGCGGGUGCUAACGUCCGUCGUGAAGAGGGAAACAACCCAGACCGCCAGCUAAGGUCCCAAAGUCAUGGUUAAGUGGGAAACGAUGUGGGAAGGCCCAGACAGCCAGGAUGUUGGCUUAGAAGCAGCCAUCAUUUAAAGAAAGCGUAAUAGCUCACUGGUCGAGUCGGCCUGCGCGGAAGAUGUAACGGGGCUAAACCAUGCACCGAAGCUGCGGCAGCGAACGUAUCACUUAAAGCGAUUCAGCGGGUUACGAUUGACGGAGCGAAGCGACGUCAAAGCGUAUACAAAGUCGAGUCGGUUUAAGGAUACGUUCGUUGGGUAGGGGAGCGUUCUGUAAGCCUGUGAAGGUGGCCUGUGAGGGUUGCUGGAGGUAUCAGAAGUGCGAAUGCUGACAUAAGUAACGAUAAAGCGGGUGAAAAGCCCGCUCGCCGGAAGACCAAGGGUUCCUGUCCAACGUUAAUCGGGGCAGGGUGAGUCGACCCCUAAGGCGAGGCCGAAAGGCGUAGUCGAUGGGAAACGGGUUAAUAUUCCCGUACUUGGUGUUACUGCGAAGGGGGGACGGAGAAGGCUAUGUUGGCCGGGCGACGGUUGUCCCGGUUUAAGCGUGUAGGUGUGUGUUCCAGGUAAAUCCGGUUCACUUUAACACUGAGGCGUGAUGACGAGGCACUACGGUGCUGAAGCAACAAAUGCCCUGCUUCCAGGAAAAGCCUCUAAGCAUCAGGUAACAUCAAAUCGUACCCCAAACCGACACAGGUGGUCAGGUAGAGAAUACCAAGGCGCUUGAGAGAACUCGGGUGAAGGAACUAGGCAAAAUGGUGCCGUAACUUCGGGAGAAGGCACGCUGACACGUAGGUGAAGUGAUUUACUCAUGGAGCUGAAGUCAGUCGAAGAUACCAGCUGGCUGCAACUGUUUAUUAAAAACACAGCACUGUGCAAACACGAAAGUGGACGUAUACGGUGUGACGCCUGCCCGGUGCCGGAAGGUUAAUUGAUGGGGUCAGCGCAAGCGAAGCUCCUGAUCGAAGCCCCGGUAAACGGCGGCCGUAACUAUAACGGUCCUAAGGUAGCGAAAUUCCUUGUCGGGUAAGUUCCGACCUGCACGAAUGGCGUAAUGAUGGCCAGGCUGUCUCCACCCGAGACUCAGUGAAAUUGAACUCGCUGUGAAGAUGCAGUGUACCCGCGGCAAGACGGAAAGACCCCGUGAACCUUUACUAUAGCUUGACACUGAACAUUGAGCCUUGAUGUGUAGGAUAGGUGGGAGGCUUUGAAGCGUGGACGCCAGUCUGCGUGGAGCCAACCUUGAAAUACCACCCUUUAAUGUUUGAUGUUCUAACGUGGACCCGUAAUCCGGGUUGCGGACAGUGUCUGGUGGGUAGUUUGACUGGGGCGGUCUCCUCCUAAAGAGUAACGGAGGAGCACGAAGGUUGGCUAAUCCUGGUCGGACAUCAGGAGGUUAGUGCAAUGGCAUAAGCCAGCUUGACUGCGAGCGUGACGGCGCGAGCAGGUGCGAAAGCAGGUCAUAGUGAUCCGGUGGUUCUGAAUGGAAGGGCCAUCGCUCAACGGAUAAAAGGUACUCCGGGGAUAACAGGCUGAUACCGCCCAAGAGUUCAUAUCGACGGCGGUGUUUGGCACCUCGAUGUCGGCUCAUCACAUCCUGGGGCUGAAGUAGGUCCCAAGGGUAUGGCUGUUCGCCAUUUAAAGUGGUACGCGAGCUGGGUUUAGAACGUCGUGAGACAGUUCGGUCCCUAUCUGCCGUGGGCGCUGGAGAACUGAGGGGGGCUGCUCCUAGUACGAGAGGACCGGAGUGGACGCAUCACUGGUGUUCGGGUUGUCAUGCCAAUGGCACUGCCCGGUAGCUAAAUGCGGAAGAGAUAAGUGCUGAAAGCAUCUAAGCACGAAACUUGCCCCGAGAUGAGUUCUCCCUGAGACUUUAGGUCUCCUGAAGGAACGUUGAAGACGACGACGUUGAUAGGCCGGGUGUGUAAGCGCAGCGAUGCGUUGAGCUAACCGGUACUAAUGAACCGUGAGGCUUAACCUUACAACGCCGAAG